rnacentral:lncRNA from 1 species
ACUAAACAAUUGAAUUAUUGAUUACAGUUCUAUUCCAUUAUAGUGAACGAAACAUACCCUUAUUUAUCAAGGGAUUGUGGUUUUAAAAGAUGAGCUAAUAAAUUAGAUUUCUAAUCGCAAUUUGUUGCAAUAUGCUAUUAUAUUUAAAUUAAAUUUGUUUUAUAAUUUUAUUUAUUAUAUAAUAUAUCACACCAAAUUUAUGAUUAUUUGAAUAUAACAAUUUUGAAUUCAUUUUAAAUAUAAAUAAUCAAAAUAUCAAACAAUUCGAAAAAUAAUAUUGUAGGGCCCAAUUUAGCCCAGAGCCCAUAAACCAAAAACCUAAUAAAAACAAAACCGUAAAACCUCAACCCAAACCCUAAAUACCCAUUUACAACGCGGCCCAAUUGGCCCACAAACCUAAAACAUUUCAACAAGGGAAACCCUAACAACCUCUUUGUGCAGUUUCAGCAAACAGCGUGCCCUCUCGCACACCAGGCACCACUAUCCCGCGACGUGUGCUGCUCCACCACACCACGUCAGAUACGUGCUCGAUCACGCACUUGCAAACAAACACAAAAGAAGGGACAACAGCAAAAAGUUGUUUUUCCCCCCUUUCGUUUGGCUAUAAAAUCGAAGAGAAUCGAAUGUAAAAUGGAGUUUUUUUCAGUUUUUUUACGAAUACAGUAACAGAUAUACACACCAAAAAUCAAUAGAAAAGAUCUUACUGCAAAAGAAAUCCAAAAGGUGAUUUUAGAUUCAACUGUCCUUGAUUUUACAUUUUCUUUUGAUUCUAUUUCCUUUAUUUUUUCCAUAUGACUUUUAAAACAUUUGAAAAUAGAAAAAGGGAAAGAUUUAUCUUACGAAUAGUUUGUGAAGUUCCGUUUGCUUCGUUGAAGUCAGAGCUUUGAGGGGGGUUUUUAGCCAAGAAUGUCGGCCCUCAAAGCUUAAAUCUGCUAGACGCCAUUUAAUGUGCUGAUAGGUAUUCAAAGGGAGGGAUUAAAGUCGGCUAAGGGGAAAAAUUAAGAGAGAAAUAAAAAAGGGCUAGGGUUUCUUUUAAAAAAAAUGGCAGAAUGCCAUUCAAUUUUUUUUUUUUAGUUUUUAAAUGGC